rnacentral:pre_miRNA from 17 species
CCUUAAUGACAUAAUCCAUGCAUUCUGCUGUCCUUCAUUCCACCGGAGUCUGUAACAUAACCAAUCAGAUUUCAGUGGUGUGAAGUGCAGGAGACAUGGAACACAAUCUUCCAAUCAAC